rnacentral:lncRNA from 1 species
ACGGUAUAACCAAAAAGUAUUUUUUCUGUCCCAAAAUUGAAAGUACAAAUCAAGUACUGUAAAAUACAAGUACAUAAAUAUUACAAUAAUUUUAAAGUAACAAAAUAGUACUUAAUAUUACAUGUAAAAGUAGAUUUCCAAUACUACACAUUUAUGGUACAGAAAUAGUACCUAUGCAAAAGUAGCUGUGUAGUUAUGCCAUAUUUCUUAAAAUCCAACGCCUCAUGUAGUCCUAUACACUCCGCCCGUUUAAGAUUCAUUGCAACAACUCUCCAAAGGGUCUUAAUAAUGCCUGUUCCAAGGCAAAAUAAGUACCUCAUUCAAUUGCAACAUGGCUUUGACUUUCUGUAUCUCCCCAUAUUCCAACCCAUCGUCAUGGUCCUGCCAACUGUGUUAAUUAAUUUGUUUUCGUUGUGUAUAUGCAUAACAUAAUCGUAACUGGACAUUGGUCCCGGUAAUUGUAGAAGUAGUGAAAUUAUUGAACGAUUAUAUUAACUUCAUUGAGCAAUAGGGUGAUAUCAGCUGGAAUUUCUUUACUACAGC